GCCUUCGUGGUGUAACUGUUAACACAUUUGGCGCACAUUCAAGAGGUCCAGGUUCGAGUCUCGGCGAGAGUU
rnacentral:tRNA from 1 species